GCAAGUCGAGCGCUACCUUCGGGUGGAGCGGCGGACGGGUUAGUAACGCGUGGGAACAUACCUUUCGGUAAGGAAUAGCCACUGGAAACGGUGAGUAAUACCUUAUACGCCCUAUGGGGGAAAGAUUUAUCGCCGAGAGAUUGGCCCGCGUUAGAUUAGAUAGUUGGUGGGGUAAUGGCCUACCAAGGCAACGAUCCGUAGCUGGUCUGAGAGGACGAUC
rnacentral:rRNA from 1 species